rnacentral:rRNA from 1 species
GCUCAGAUUGAACGCUGGCGGCAGGCCUAACACAUGCAAGUCGAGCGGCAGCACGGGUACUUGUACCUGGUGGCGAGCGGCGGACGGGUGAGUAAUGCCUAGGAAUCUGCCUGGUAGUGGGGGAUAACGUCCGGAAACGGGCGCUAAUACCGCAUACGUCCUACGGGAGAAAGUGGGGGAUCUUCGGACCUCACGCUAUCAGAUGAGCCUAGGUCGGAUUAGCUAGUUGGUGAGGUAAUGGCUCACCAAGGCGACGAUCCGUAACUGGUCUGAGAGGAUGAUCAGUCACACUGGAACUGAGACACGGUCCAGACUCCUACGGGAGGCAGCAGUGGGGAAUAUUGGACAAUGGGCGAAAGCCUGAUCCAGCCAUGCCGCGUGUGUGAAGAAGGUCUUCGGAUUGUAAAGCACUUUAAGUUGGGAGGAAGGGUACUUACCUAAUACGUGAGUAUUUUGACGUUACCGACAGAAUAAGCACCGGCUAACUCUGUGCCAGCAGCCGCGGUAAUACAGAGGGUGCAAGCGUUAAUCGGAAUUACUGGGCGUAAAGCGCGCGUAGGUGGUUUGUUAAGUUGGAUGUGAAAGCCCCGGGCUCAACCUGGGAACUGCAUCCAAAACUGGCAAGCUAGAGUAUGGUAGAGGGUGGUGGAAUUUCCUGUGUAGCGGUGAAAUGCGUAGAUAUAGGAAGGAACACCAGUGGCGAAGGCGACCACCUGGACUGAUACUGACACUGAGGUGCGAAAGCGUGGGGAGCAAACAGGAUUAGAUACCCUGGUAGUCCACGCCGUAAACGAUGUCAACUAGCCGUUGGGAGCCUUGAGCUCUUAGUGGCGCAGCUAACGCAUUAA